CUACGGGCCGCAGCAGUGGGGAAUAUUGGACAAUGGGCGCAAGCCUGAUCCAGCCAUGCCGCGUGAGUGACGAAGGUCUUCGGAUUGUAAAGCUCUUUUGGCGGGGACGAUAAUGACGGUACCCGCAGAAUAAGCCCCGGCUAACUUCGUGCCAGCAGCCGCGGUAAUACGAAGGGGGCUGGCGUUGUUCGGAAUUACUGGGCGUAAAGCGCACGUAGGCGGAUUUGUAAGUCAGGGGUGAAAUCCCGGGGCUCAACCUCGGAACUGCCUUUGAUACUGCAAGUCUCGAGUCCGGAAGAGGUGAGUGGAAUUCCUAGUGUAGAGGUGAAAUUCGUAGAUAUUAGGAAGAACACCAGUGGCGAAGGCGGCUCACUGGUCCGGUACUGACGCUGAGGUGCGAAAGCGUGGGGAGCAAACAGGAUUAGAUACCCCGGUAGUC
rnacentral:rRNA from 1 species